rnacentral:rRNA from 1 species
UACGUAGGGACCAAGCGUUGUUCGGAUUUACUGGGCGUAAAGGGCGCGUAGGCGGCGCGGUAAGUCACUUGUGAAAUCUCUGAGCUUAACUCAGAACGGCCAAGUGAUACUGCAGUGCUAGAGUGUAGAAGGGGCAAUCGGAAUUCUUGGUGUAGCGGUGAAAUGCGUAGAUAUCAAGAGGAACACCUGAGGUGAAGACGGGUUGCUGGGCCAACACUGACGCUGAUGCGCGAAAGCCAGGGGAGCAAACGGG